rnacentral:lncRNA from 10 species
UUUGACCUUGACCACCCAGAGGACAGUCAGGAGCACAGACCUGCCGUGGUCGCCCCGGCCUAAAGCUCUUCAAUGGCUUCUUGUUGUCCUUAAGCCCAAGGCCCAAGCCCUCACCAGGGCACCCCCUGCCCACCGCACUGCAGGGCCUCCCGCUCUGCCUGCCACCCUCUCCCCCAUCUCUGAUCUCCCCUCUGUGUGUGUUGGACCGGUCACCCAUCUUCCUCCAUCCCUCACUGCUUUUGAGCUCCCUCUUC